ACAUGUCAAUCCCAGUUCCCUCUCCCUCUCCUCCUCCCCUGCCCCCCACUAACUCCCUAUCCCAUACCCUUUCUGCUCCUGAGGGAGGGUGAGGCCUUCCAUGGAGGCUCUUCAGAGUCUGUCAUAUCCUUUGGGAUAGGGCCUGGGUCCUCCCCCCUGUGUCUAGGCUGAGAGAGUAUCCCACUAUGUGGAAUGGGUUCCCAAAACUCAUUCGUAUGCUAGGGAUAAAUACUGAUCUACUACCAGAGGACCCAUAGAUUUCUGAGGCCUCCUGAAUGAUAACCAUGUUCAUGGAAUCUGGAUUAGUCCUAUGCUGGUUUCCCAGCUAUCAGUCUGGGGUUCAUGAGCUCCCCCUUGUUCAGGUCAGCUGUUUCUGUGGGUUUCACCAGCCUGGUCUUGACCUCUUUGCUCAUCACUCCUCCCUCUCUGCAACUGGGUUCCAGUUCAGUUCAGUGUUUAGCUGUGGGUGUCUGCUUCUGCUUCCAUCAGCUGUUGGAUGAAGGCUCUAGGAUGGCAUAUAAAGUAGUCAUCAAUCUCAUUAUCAGAGAAGGGCAUUUAAGGAAGCCUCUCCACUGUUGCUUAGAUGGUUAGUUGGUAUCAUCCUUGUAGAUCUCUGGACAUUUCCCUAGUGCCUGAUUUCUCUUUAAGCCUAUAACUUCUCCUUCUAUUAUGGUAUCUCUUUUCUUGCUCUCCUCUAUUCUUCCCCCAACUCAACCUUCCUGCUCCCUCAUUUCCUCCUCACCCCUCCUCUUCUCCCCUUCUCAUUCUCCUAGCUCCCUCACUCAGUGGAUUUUAUAACCUAGACCAUGGAAGGUUCCCGGCCUGCCUGCCACUGAUGCUGUUAUGGAGAGAAACUAAAGUAACGCAUCAGUUUCCUCUCCCUGCAGGAUACUCUUGCUCAACAACCAUCGGUGGCUCCCCAUUACCCAUAGGAAAGAGUUGUAUUUCAGUGUUCAUCUGUGCUCAUUCAACUUGAACCCAUUUUCCAACUUUAUUUCCCAUGCACAUAAGUCUUCUGCUCCUUGCAGAGUUCACCCAGCAUGGUUUUUGCCUUCUUACCUCCAGGCCUUCUCCCAUCACUACCUAUUGAGUUUACCAUCAUCCUUCAAGACCUCACUAUGGCACCAUCUCUCCUAUGAGGCUUCCUUCCUCAGCAGAGUCGAAAGGAAUCUUAUUCUUCCCGGGGAGAACUCUGUUGAAAACAAAUACCACAACAGUUCCUGGCACUGUGCUCAUGAAAAGAAAGUUGUCAUGACCACACCCGAGCUCUAAACACUUUACAUUCACUGACUCAUGGAAUCUCC
rnacentral:lncRNA from 1 species